GUGUUGAAACACCAGUUACCAUAUGAUCACUGAAGUUAAGCAAUGUCAAGCCUGGUCAGUAACAUGAUAGGUGACUGCUUGGGAAUACCAGGUGCUGUAAU